rnacentral:rRNA from 1 species
GUCCACGCCUUAAACGAUGAGAACUAGACGUUGAGAGGGUUAGCCUCCCAGUGUCGCAGCUAACGCGCUAAGUUCUCCACCUGGGGAGUACGGCCGCAAGGUUGAAACUCAAAGGAAUUGACGGGGACCCCGCACAAGCGGUGGAGCAUGUGGUUUAAUUCGAUGCAACGCGAAGAACCUUACCUGGCCUUGACAUCCACGGAAUUCUGCAGAGAUGCGGAAGUGCCUUCGGGAACCGUGAGACAGGUGCUGCAUGGCUGUCGU